rnacentral:rRNA from 1 species
UACGAAGGGGGCAAGCGUUACUCGGAAUUAUUGGGCGUAAAGAGUGCGUAGGCGGUUGUGUAAGUUGGAAGUGAAAUUCUUUAGCUCAACUAAAGAACUGCUUACAAAACUGCACAACUUGAGUCUCAGAGAGGACAGAAGAAUUCCUGAUGUAGGGGUGGAAUCCGUAGAUAUCAGGAGGAACACCGAAAGCGAAAGCAUCUGUCUGGCUGAGCACUGACGCUGUUGCACGAAGGCGUGGGGAGCAAACAGG